ensembl:lncRNA
AAGUAAACGGUUAACAUGACCCUGCACCUCUGGUCAUGAUCGACUGGACCAGAGGGCCCUCCAGAUCCAAAUCUCAAUUCAUCCCAUGUUCCCUCCUGGGCUGGGACUUGGGUUAUGGAGGUUCUGGUCCAUCUCUUGUUUCUUGCCCUGGGAAGACAAGUUAGCAUGAGGGUGGGCUGGCCCAGAUGAACGCAGAACAGAGAAAAUCAGUUGCAGAGAAGGAAUCGAGCAGGUGCACAGAAGAGAGACAACGUGGGUGCAGAUAAACAAACGGUGAGACCAUUUGCAUUGAUUCUGCUUUUAAAAAUUCCAUUGGAGUAUAGUUGAUUUACAAUGUAUUAGUUUUAGGCAUACAGCAAAGUGAAUCAGUUAUACCUAUAUUAUAUACAUAUAUAUCCAUUCUUUUUUCCAAUGGAUUAUUACAAGCUAUUGAGUAGAUUUCCCCAUGCUAUACGGUAGGUUCUUGUUAAUUGCAUUUUUUUUUUUUUUUUGUCUUUUUGCUUUUUCUUGGGCCGCUCCCGCACCUGCGAACCUCCAUAUGUCCAGAGUGAGGCCCUGAAAAAAAGCAAAAAAAGCAAAAAUGGGGGGGGGGUCUGAAUCAGAAUAAGCAAGAAGACAAAAGCUAAGACUUGGAAGAAUCAAUCUGCAUCAUGUAUGAUGCUGAUCGUAGGUCCCGCUGCCUCAAAAGCGGCCUCUGACAUCUACUGUCGCUAAUUGCACAAAGCCAUGGUCCUAUAAGAUGUAAGCUGUCUCCAGAAGACCAAAGACCAAGGUGGCCAAUUUUAACAAAUGAGGGCUCCGCAAGGCGAAGACAAAUAUCAGCCACUGGGAACUGGCAGAACAAGCUCUAGAUAUUUUGCAAGAAGAAUGGUCCCUGGAGAGAGCGGAUUAAGAUGGCGGAAUAGAAGGACUUGAGCUCAACUUCUCUCCUAAAAACAACAAAAUUCACAACUAAAGGCUGAGCACUCUCCACCCAAAUGGACCGGAAACCUUAAAAAAGAUAUCCUACUCCAGAAGACAAAGAGGAGGCCACAUCAAGAGGUAGGAGGGGCGAUUUCCUGAUAUAAACAACCCCAGACCUCCCGGGUGGGAAGCCCCACAGGCUGGAAAGUAACUGGUUCACAGAGACUCACCUACAGGAGUGAGCGUUCUGAGCCCCACAUCAAACCCUCACGUGGGAGACCUGGCACUGGGAGAAAAAGCCCCUGGAGCAUCUGGCACUGAAGGCCAGUGGGGCUUGUGUGCAGGAGCUCCCCAGGACUGGGGGAAACGGAGACCCCCUUCUUAAAAGGCCACACGGACUUACAUGCACUGGGUCCCAGGGCAAAGCAAAGUCUCCAUAGGAAUCUGAGUCAAACCUGACUGCAGUUCUCGGAGGACCUCCUGGGAAAACAGGGGUGAAUGUGGCUUGUUAUGAGGGAAGGACAUUGAAGGCAAAGCUCUCGGGAAUCUUCAGCAGCCUGCUUUUCUCUGGAGGUGGCCAUUUCGGGAAAACUUGGCUCCACCCAUCAGCACUGAGAAGCCCCAGGGCAAACAACAACCCAGGUGGGAUCACAGCCCCAGCCCUCAGUAAACAGGCUACCUAAAGACCCCUCAGGCACACAGCCGCCUCUAAUCCCACCCAGAGACUAAGCCCCACCCACCAGAGGGAUUAGAAUCGGCUCCACCUACCAGGGGGCAGGCAUCAGCCCUUCCCAUCGGGAAGCCUACAGCGAGCUCCCCAUACCGACUUCAGCCACAAGGGGGGCAGACACCAGAAGAAAGAGAGGCUACAACUCUAUCAUCUGCAAAAAAGGUCACCACACCAAAAUCCUAUAAAAAUGAAAAGACAGAGAACUAUAACUCAGAUGAGGGAGAAAGGAAAACCCCCAGAAAAUCAGCUAAGCGAUAAGAAGAUUCUUAGCCUCCAGGAAAAAGACUUGAGAUUGUUGACGUGGAAGAAGAUACAAAUAAGAAUGCACAAAUAAGCAUGCACAAAUAAGAAUGCAGGGUAUGGAGUUCCCAUUGUGGCUCAGCAGUAACCUGCCCGACUAGUAUCUAUGAGGACACAGGUUGGAUCCCUGGCCUUGCUCAGUGGGUUAAGGAUCUGGCGUUGCCUUGAGCUGUGGUGUAGGUCAAAGACGCAGCCCGGAUCCCAGCGUGGGCUGGCAGCUGCAGCUCCGAUUCAUCCCUUAGCCUGGGAACUUCCAAAUGCUGGCAGUGUGGCCCUAAAGAGCCAAAAAAAAAAAAAAAAAA